GAAGCUUCUAACUUUAAAUAAGAGCAUUAAAUUGUUCAUAUUUCUA
rnacentral:tRNA from 1 species